rnacentral:rRNA from 1 species
CCCUUAGAUGUUCUGGGCCGCACGCGCGCUACACUGAUGCAUGCAACGAGUUCUAUCCUUGGCCGGAAGGCCUGGGUAAUCUGUGAACGUGCAUCGUGAUAGGGAUAGAUUAUUGCAAUUAUUAAUCUUGAACGAGGAAUUCCUAGUAAACGCAAGUCAUCAGCUUGCAUUGAUUACGUCCCUGCCCUUUGUACACACCGCCCGUCGCACCUACCGAUUGAAUGGUCCGGUGAAAUCUCGGGACGGCGGCUUGGUCGCUUGCGUCCGACUGCUGAAACUUGAUUAAACCAUAUCAUUUAGAGGAAGGUGAANUCGUAACA